ensembl:lncRNA
ACGAGUCCUUGUAAGUGGGAAUCAGACUCAAAUUUGAAGACACUAUGCUGCUGGUUUUGAAGAUGGAGGAAGGGGCCAGGAGCCCGGAAGUUCAGACAGCCUCUAGACAGUUUCCCAGAGCCUCCAGAAAAAAGGCUGCCCUUUAACACUUUGAUUCUCACCUCAUGCGACCGACUUCAGGCUUCUGAUCUACAUAAUGAGAAAACAAGAGAAAGGAUCCUUGAAGGAGGGAAGUAGAAGCAGGUGGUCAAUUAAGAAGCUCCUGCAGCCAUCAAGACAACAGGUGACGAUGUUCAUGCUGCCUCUGGCUGAGAUGAUUGGAUGGUGUUUGCCAUCAGUGCCUCUAAGACUCCUCACUCUCACUGCAGAGGGCCCAGGUUCGAUCCCUUGUCAGGGAAAUAGAUCCCACAUACAGCCACUGAAGUUCUCACGUCCUGCAACAGAAGAUCCUGUGUGCAGCAACUAAGACCCAGAGCAGCCAAAUAAAUAAAUAUUUUUUAAAAGUAACUCCUUUUAUGUUUAGACAGCUCUGAGAUUCUUCUUUGUUAAAGAAACUGGCCUCCCAAGACUUGAAGAGGCACAAUUUUGUUCUGCAAUCUCCUCUGCGUGACACCUCUCACGUGUGUGAAGAUAGUUCUUGCAGCUUCCUCGGGUCCUCUUUCUGCUUAUCUAGACCAAGCUCCCUGACAGUGCCUUCCUCGGUUCAGGCUCAGAUAUCACUUCUGCAGGAGACACCCUUCAUUCAUGAGGUCAUUCAUUCAUCCAAACUUUAUUAACAACUCAUUGUGUACCAUGUACUUGAUAGAACCUAGAAAUACAGAAAUGAAGGUAUAGUUCCUACCUUCAAGAAAUACAGCAUCCAUCGGGAGAGGGGGACGUUUAAAGAAAUAAUUGUAACAUCACUGGCAAGUGCUGUAACAGGGAUAUGGUGCGACACAAGGGCCACUCAGUCCAACGACUGACUUUUAAACUGGCCAUGCUAGGGCAUUCAUUUUACCAUAAUUAUCUUGCAUGGUGAUCACCGGAACUAAAAAGACUAGAAGAAUUCUAAAAAGAGUACUUCCACCACUCUGAUCUAAAUGUGAUAAUCCUAAGAAUGCAGCCCAGAACUGUAAUUAAUUUAUUUAGCAGAUGACUAACUUAAAAAAAAACUUCUGGCAUUAAUUUCAUGAAAUGCAAUUAGGUCCAUCCUGUGCAAAUGAAAAAAAAAAAAAAAAAACAGAUGGAAGGAUAGAUAGAUAGAGUGACAGUAGACAGAUAUAGGAAGUAUUUUAUAUUUAUUCAUCCUUGGUAAAUACCUUCUCAUUUCAGUCUAGCAAAACACUCAGAUACAGCGCCAGGCCUAAGAAGCAGGGUUGAAUUUCCAAUUCUGCUUCUUCUAGCUGCAGGAACUACCUCUUUAGUCUAUUUAGGGGAUUAAAAGAAAUAAUGAAUGAAAUUAUCUAGCGUAUCUCCAGCCUCAAGCUU